rnacentral:lncRNA from 1 species
UUACCGAGCGCGGCUCUCAGAAAUGUAAUGUUUAUCGAAUGUAGCUCUUGGCAGCGAUAAGGCUCCAUCAAACUUUAGUUCCACCUCGCCGAGAGACAAGCAAGAUGACAUGUUUAAGUAGUGGGACAAUCUACAUGUAGUAAGCUUCGGUAUUCAUUACAUUCCUGCUAAGAAGAUAGACUCUCACUUUGAAUUUCACUUAUUCCAGGCGAAGAAGAUUCAGAGUAAUAGGCCAUCUUCCUAG